AAGGAAAAAAUAGUAAUAAUAAGAGGUUGAAAUUUGAAAUGUGAACGUAUCAACUUGUCCAAAUUAAAAAUAACACGCGAAGAUUUAUUCUACGCGUUGUACAAAUCAAAUCCCGUAUGCGACCGGCUGUAACCGGUAAUAACGGUUUCCCUUCUUCCUUUCUUCGUCUUCAUUUUUGAACCCCUUUCCCCUUCUUCUGCAACUUUUUUUUUUUUUUUUGGCUUUUUUGCUUUUUCCUUUAAUCUUGCCUGCUUUGUUUUUUAAUUUUUGUUUUCCUUCAAGCUUUGAGCUUACGGAGUUGCUGCAACGUACACUACCGCGUCUUGAAUCCUGUUGGAAAACACUUUCGAGUCCGUUACUGAUUCAGCUCUGGCUAUAGGGUUUUACGUUUUAAAUCAGGUAGGCCAUUUCAUUUCCGUUCUUGAUUUAUUGAGUUAUUGAUUCAUUAGUUG
rnacentral:lncRNA from 1 species